rnacentral:tRNA from 1 species
GCCUUAGUGGUGUAGUGGUCAGCACGCUCGACGGGUAUUCGAGAAGUCCGUGGUUCGAGUCCUGGCGACAGCA